rnacentral:rRNA from 1 species
UACGAAGGGGGCUAGCGUUGCUCGGAAUCAUUGGGCGUAAAGCGCACGUAGGCGGCUUCUUAAGUCGGUGGUGAAAUCCUGGAGCUCAACUCCAGAACUGCCUUCGAUACUGGGAGCUCGAGUCCGGGAGAGGUGAGUGGAACUGCGAGUGUAGAGGUGAAAUUCGUAGAUAUUCGCAAGAACACCAGUGGCGAAGGCGGCUCACUGGCCCGGUACUGACGCUGAGGUGCGAAAGCG